AUCGAACGCUGGCGGCAUGCCUAACACAUGCAAGUCGAACGAGUGGCGGACGGGUGAGUAAUGUCUGGGAAACUGCCUGAUGGAGGGGGCUAACUACUGGAAACGGUAGCUACUACCGCAUACCAUCGGAUGUGCCCAGGUGGGAUUAGCUAGUCGGUGGGGUAACGGCUCAUCUAGGCGUCGAUCCCUAGCUGGUCUGAGAGGGUGACCGGCCACACUGGAACUGAGACACGGUCCAGACUCCUACGGGAGGCAGCAGUAGGGAAUAUUGGACAAUGGGCGCAAGUCUGAUGCAGCCAUGCCGCGUGAAUGAAGAAGGCCUUCGGGUUGUAAAGUACUUUCAGCGGAGAGGCGUUACCCGCAGAAAAAGCACCGGCUAACUCCGUGCCAGCAGCCGCGGUAAUAC
rnacentral:rRNA from 1 species